rnacentral:rRNA from 1 species
CCUACGGGGGACAGCAGUGGGGAAUAUUGGGCAAUGGGCGCAAGCCUGACCCAGCAACGCCGCGUGAAGGAAGAAGGCUUUCGGGUUGUUAACUUCUUUUCUCAGGGACGAAGAAAGUGACGGUACCUGAGGAAUAAGCCACGGCUAACUACGUGCCAGCAGUCGCGGUGAUACGUAGGUGGCAAGCGUUAUCCGGAUUGAUUGGGUGUAAAGGGCGUGUAGGCGGGAGCGCAAGUCAGAUGUGAAAACUCAGGGCUUAACCCUGAGCCUGCAUUUGAAACUGUGGUUCUUGAGUGCUGAAGAGGCAAUCGGAAUUCCGUGUGUAGCGGUGAAAUGCGUAGAGAUACGGAGGAACACCAGUGGCGAAGGCGGAUUGCUGGACAGUAACUGACGCUGAGGCGCGAAAGCGUGGGGAGCAAACAGGAUUAGAUACCCUGGUAGUC